rnacentral:rRNA from 1 species
UGGGGAAUAUUGGGCAAUGGGCGCAAGCCUGACCCAGCCACGCCGCGUGAGUGAUGAAGGCCUUCGGGUCGUAAAGCUCUGUGGGGAGGGAAGAAAAAACGUUGGCCAAUAUCCAACGGACUGACGGUACCUCCUUAGCAAGCACCGGCUAACUCCGUGCCAGCAGCCGCGGUAAUACGGAGGGUGCAAACGUUGCUCGGAAUCAUUGGGCGUAAAGCGUACGUAGGCGGUCCAGCAAGUCGGGUGUGAAAUCCCUGGGCUUAACCGAGGAAGUGCAAACGAAACUACUGGACUUGAGUACUGAAGAGGGUCGCGGAAUUCCCGGUGUAGAGGUGAAAUUCGUAGAUAUCGGGAGGAACACCAGUGGCGAAGGCGGCGACCUGGGCAGAUACUGACGCUGAGGUACGAAAGCGUGGGGAGCAAACAG